GCGCUGCCACGCCAGGGCUUUCCCGGUUGGGGACUACAGGCUGCUUGGAACGUGCAAACACCUGGCGUGGUUCUUGAGGGCCCCAGAGACUUGAGUCUCAUUCCGGUCCGCUCCAGGGUUGUAGGCAGAAGGCUCGGAGCGGUCAGGGGGGUUUCCUGUGUGUCAGCAACAUCACUCUGCCGAGAUAGCUGGCGGAAGAGCCAAGGAGCGCUCUCGGGCCAAUCGCUCUCCAGCAGCCAGCCCUACCCCUGCCCCUGACCGAGCGCGCCCUGACCGCCGACUCUGGUGAAGACCGGCUUUCCCAGAAGACGCCUCCGGCCCCGGGCGAACUUCGCGGAGGCACGCCCCUCGCCUGCCGGCGGAGCGCGGACUCGCCCGGGCGCCCAAACUCCGCCCAUCCUCGCGGGGAGCCCGGCUCGCCCUCCCGCCGCCUGCACUCGAGCAGGUCUCUAGAAGAGCCUGCGAGCUCACACAGACGGCGAGCCGGACGCGAUCCAGAAGCGCACGAGCCUGCGACCACGCGCGCUCCGAUGGCCCCCACAGGCUGAGCGCCGGGGGGCGCGGAGGCAGCGGCGCGGGCCCUAGAGCCGAGCUGCUGGCUUGCAAGGUAGGGAGCAGGAAGAUGCCCCAACGAAGUUGAUCUUUGGGGGAAGGCGGUUGGGGCGCGCCCUCCCCACCUCGGAGCGCAGAGCAGCGAGUUUGGCUCGACCUCACUGAGCCCCCGGCGCGCUCUCCGGCGCUAAUCCGCGGUCCCUCGGGAAAGCGCAGUCGGAAAGUUGUCGGCGGCGGUGUCCCUCGCGCCCUGUUGUGUAACCUCGGCGCUGCCAGCCUCACCGGGAAGUUGCUGGUCCUCAGGCCAGCCCGGUUCGGUCGCGGCCCGGGGCAGAUUUCAUGGCCCGCGGCGACCGCGGGGCCGGAGCCGGCGCGGGCGAGCCCCUGCUUGCCCCCUCCCGCAGAGAUCCCCGGCGCCCCCUCCCGUCUGCUCGCCCGCCUUUCCGAUGCUUGCUGCGCCCCUCGCCGCCGCCCUCUUGCUGCCGCUCGCCCCUUGGAGCCGCCGCCUAAGUCGGGGAGGAGAGAAUGACCGAGGUGCUGUGGCCGGCGGUCCCCAAUGGGACGGACGCUGCCUUCCUGGCCGGCCCGGGCUUGCCCUGGGGGAACAGCACAGUGGCCUCCACCGCCGCCGUCGCCUCUCCGUUCAAAUGCGCGCUGACCAAGACAGGCUUCCAAUUCUACUACCUGCCAGCUGUCUACAUCUUGGUGUUCAUUGUCGGCUUCCUGGGCAACAGCGUGGCCAUCUGGAUGUUCGUCUUCCACAUGAAGCCGUGGAGCGGCAUCUCCGUGUACAUGUUCAACUUGGCCUUGGCGGACUUCUUGUACGUGCUGACUCUGCCGGCGCUCAUCUUCUACUACUUCAAUAAGACCGACUGGAUCUUCGGGGAUGCCAUGUGCAAGCUGCAGAGGUUCAUCUUCCACGUGAACCUGUAUGGCAGCAUCUUGUUCCUGACCUGCAUCAGCGCACACCGGUACAGCGGCGUGGUGUACCCGCUCAAGUCCCUGGGCAGGCUGAAGAAGAAGAACGCAGUCUGUAUCAGCGUGCUCGUGUGGCUCAUCGUGGUGGUGGGGAUCUCGCCCAUCCUCUUCUAUUCCGGCACCGGGAUCCGGAAAAACAAAACCAUCACCUGCUAUGACACCACCUCAGACGAGUACCUGCGAAGUUAUUUCAUCUACAGCAUGUGCACGACCGUGGCCAUGUUCUGUGUUCCUUUGGUGCUGAUUUUGGGCUGUUACGGAUUAAUUGUGAGAGCUUUGAUUUACAAAGACCUGGACAAUUCGCCUCUGAGGAGGAAAUCCAUUUACCUGGUGAUUAUUGUACUGACUGUUUUUGCCGUGUCUUACAUCCCUUUCCACGUGAUGAAAACAAUGAAUUUGAGGGCCCGGCUGGAUUUUCAGACCCCAGAAAUGUGUGCUUUCAAUGACAGGGUUUAUGCCACUUAUCAGGUGACAAGAGGUCUAGCAAGUCUCAACAGUUGUGUGGACCCCAUUCUCUAUUUCUUGGCUGGAGAUACUUUCAGAAGGAGACUCUCCCGAGCCACCAGGAAAGCUUCCAGAAGAAGUGAGGCAAAUUUGCAGUCCAAGAGUGAAGACAUGACUCUCAAUAUUUUAUCCGAGUUCAAGCAGAAUGGAGAUACAAGCUUGUGAAGAUGCAAGAAUUCCCAAACACCCACCUUUGUAACAUGGUAGGAUGCUUAAUAGAGCCAAGUGCUUUUUUCCCCUUUAAGUUUCUAGUAAGAUUACAGAAGAUUCAAACCAAGAAAGCAGUAAGUUUAAAAAAAAAAAAAAAAAAAAAGAGAAGUGGAAAUGCCUACACCCACACUUAGCUUGUUUGGGUUUGCUUUCAAGGACUUCCUUCUUUCUCACCAGAAGUAUGUAACAUAAAAUAAUACUAUCCUACUUAAAUAUUUACUUUCUCUUCUGCCUUUAGAAUUUGCAAGCUCUUCUGUUUAAAGUUUACAUGAGUACUGGAGCUAUUUGGAUAUUAAUAACUUCUCCAAGAAAACUGACCACCUGAAACUUGAGUUUGUGAUUCAUCUAGUCUUAUUGUUUUUAAUAAUCUGAGGCACAAACUGGUCUCUGGGAUGAGUCUGCUAAUGAUGAAAACAUACAGAGGGUCAAGAUAAAGCGGUGAUCUAUUGGGCUGAAGAUCUGAUUCAUGAUAUAUGAUAAGAGUAGGUAUUUUAAGAGUAAAGGCAGAAAUCUACUGGCAUUCUGAUAAAAGAGUCAAAACUACAGAACUUAUCAGUUAACUAAAUUUCACACUACAAAACUGUUUGAAUGCCAAGCUCAAGGCGUUUCAUGGCUCAUCAGUUGGCAUCUUUGACUCUUUGAACAUCCAUGUGUGUUUGCACUGAAAUGCUAAAAACACAGACCAAGAAGAGAUACAGCAUGAGAGUAGGAUUUGGAGUUAAAAUGGUGACACUGCCACUUGGCCAGCCGUGGAACUCUUGACCCUGUCAAGACCACUCUCCGUGGAUUAAAAGGGUUGGAUGACAUCCAUCUGUUGGGGCCUUAGGGGAUGUGGUAAAGCCAGAGGUGCAUGAAGUCUGCUACUGUAUUUUCCAGGACUGUUCAAUCCCAGUCCUUGACUGAAAAUUCAUACAAAGUUCACCGACUGUGAUACGGAUAUGACCUGUAGGUUUUCUCAGUCUCCUCAGGGCAGUGCACUAUACUGCCUUUGGAUACAAGAGAUGUCAGUGCUUACAGCAUGUAGCAGCUUGUAGCAGCUGGAAUUGGACUAGUGACAAUAAAGAUGUGUAACUAGUUAGAGAUGUAGUGAAGCUUUAACUUUGCUGGUCAAAUUGUAACUAUCAUAAUAGUAUUUAUUGAUGAAGCUCACAGCCCUUCCAUUGUACAGACUGAAGAACUUUCUUGAAAGUUCCACCAUACUGAGGUAAAUUAUAUUUAUUACAAUGUAUAAUAUUAAUAUGUCACACUGGUGUAUUUUACAUAAUAUAUGAUGCAUAAAAAAUGAGAGUUACUGUAUAUUAUGAUGCUUUCCAAAUAUCAGUAUCUUGAAAUGUUUAAGUCUUCAGAUUUCUUUUAUCUAAAAUAUGAAAAUCUGUUUUGUGAUACAAGUGAUUCAUUUUCUCUACAAAUGCUUUUGCACGUUUAUCUUUUUAUUUAGGGUUCUUUCUACAGAGACACAGUUUGGUGUCAGUCGAUAGUAAAUACAAAAUAUCUUAGCCAGACUGGGUCUGUAUUGUCUACAUUUUAUAUACUAUUGUAGAAAACUUUAUAUUGUCUUUUUAAUACAUUUGGAAUUGUGUCCCCAAAUACAGUCAGAGCUUCCCAUUUCCAAAUGCAAAAGACUUGUCCUAAAUUCAGAGGAGAUCUCUUAUGUUUUAGAAGUCUGGUGAGAUGGGCAUUACAGAUACAACAUUAGAGUUUGAGGAAAUACUUUAGGGAGAUGGGGAGAGAAAGAGGCAGCUGGUGUAAUCAGUUACUGUGCUCAGUUCCGCUUCAAUUUUUAUUUUGUGUUUCUUCUCAAGGUGAAAUAGUAUAAUCUUAAUUUCUUUGAGAUGGAGUUUCUAAGUAACACACUACCAGCAAGUUCAACACUGCUAGUAAUUUUAUUGUUUUCUUUGUUCAUUUGAUAACUUUAAUUCCAAGUUUUACAGUAAUAACUGUAUAUUAUUUGGCUGCUGAAUCCUGUUACAGUUUUUUAGUUCUGUUGUACAUUGUAUUAUACACAUCAUUGCAAAUUAAUAUGAAGGGGAAUAUAUGUUACAUAUCAAAAAUUGUGAAUUUGAAUUCUAGUAUGUGUUAGUGCUUUUGCCAAAAUGUUUAUUUUUAUAAUAUCUGUAAUUUUAAUAUAGAUAAUUGAACUAGAUUUCUUUGUGAUUAAUAGUGCCAUUGAAUGAGCAGUAUGGAAACAGUGUUACUUGACAUUUUGAGCUUUCUCAGGUUUAUCUAAAUCAAUGGUAGCUUAACAGAUUCCAGACUAAUUGUGCAUAAUUGUGUUUUAAAAGGAAUGUACAUUUUCUAUAAGUUUGCAUGCAGGAGUGUACAGCUUGGAAUGUGUGUGUGUGUGUGUGUGUGUGUGUGUGUGUCCAUGGCAUGGCAGCCAACUUCAUAUCUGCUGUUGGUAAUAACAGCAGAGCUUUGAUAUAAUCAUGGUCAUUAGAAUUGUACCUACCAUAGACAGUUAAAACUGAAAAAGUCUCAAUAAAACUAUGAAAUGUG